UUACGGCCAUAUCAUGUUGAAACACUAGUUCCCAUAUGAUCACCAAAAUUAAGCAAUGUUGAGCAUGUUCAGUACCUAGAUGGGUGACCAUUUGUGCA